rnacentral:rRNA from 1 species
GUCCACGCUGUAAACGAUGGGCACUAGGUGUUCGGGGUAUUGACCCCCUGAGUGCCGCAGCUAACGCAUUAAGUGCCCCGCCUGGGGACUACGGCCGCAAGGUUAAAAACUCAAAAGGAAUUGACGGGGGCCCGCACAAGCGGUGGAGCAUGUGGUUCAAUUCGACGCAACGCGAAGAACCUUACCUGGGCUAGACAACAUCGGACAGCCCUAGAAAUAGGGUCUUCCCGCAAGGGACCGGUGGUUCAGGUGCUGCAUGGCUGUCGU